rnacentral:misc_RNA from 1 species
CUCUUGACUCGAUUGAUGGCAUAACCAUAGGUUCGCUUGAUGAUGUUCCCAGUGGUGCUGUCACCUCAUUUUUCAAGUCUAUAAGGAACACCUUGGAUUUUGAUUUUGAAGAUGAUAAUGAAGGUCGUUGGCAGUCCAAUGAACCACCAUCCCUUUAUGUAUUUAUUAAUUGUAGCACACGUGAACUUUCUGCUAUAGAGAAGUAUGUGGAAAAAUUUGCCACUUCAACCCCA